rnacentral:rRNA from 1 species
CGAUAUCAAUAAGCGGAGGAAAAGAAAAUAACAAUGAUUCCCUUAGUAACGGCGAGUGAAGGGGGAAAAGCUCAAAUUUUAAAUCGGCGCAGGUUCUACCUGGUCGAGUUGUAAUUUGAAGAAGCGUUUUCCGCGUCCAGGUUGGCCCAAAUCCUUUGGGAUAAGGUAUCAUGGAGGGUGAGAAUCCCGUCCGGCUGACCUUCAGGACGUUUUACGAUACGCUCUCAAAGAGUCGAGUUGUUUGAGAUUGCAGCUCAAAAUGGGAGGUAAAUUUCUCCUAAGGCUAAAUACCGGCGAGAGACCGAUAGCGAACAAGUACCGUGAGGGAAAGAUGAAAAGAAUUUUGAAAAGAAAGUCAAACAGUACGUGAAAUUGUUGAAAGGGAAACGAUUGAAGCCAGUCGUACCGACGGGAAUUCAACUUCUCGAGUGCUAAUCGUGGGUGACGUUGAGCCUCACGGCCUUCGUUGCUUGUGUUUUUGGUGCUUUUGGGGUGUACUUUUCCGUAUUGGUAGGUCAGCAUCGAUUUCGAUCGUCAUAAAAUGAUCGGGGGAAUGUAGCUUCGGUCUCGUAUCGGAGUGUUAUAGACCUUGGUAGAUGUGACGAUUGGGAUCGAGGAUUGCAACGAAUACCCUCUGGGCUAUCCGUCUGACCUCUGAAAGUCGCUCGGGUGUCGAAAGCGUGCUUAUGGCUAUUCGAGUUGGCGGUCAAUAGGUUAGAACGUGAUUACAUUCGUUAAGGAUGUUGACGUA